AUUGAACGCUGGCGGCGUGCCUAAUACAUGCAAGUCGAACGCAGUGGGGACGGGUGAGUAACACGUGGGUAACCUCCCAUCAGAGGGGAUAACACUUGGAAACAGGUGCUAAACCGAUAUUGACGGAUGGACCCGCGGUGCAUUAGCUAGUUGGGGAGGUAACGGCUCACCAAGGCCACGAUGUAUAGCCGGCCUGAGAGGAGGAUCCGCCACACUGGGACUGAGACACGGCCCAGACUCCUACGGGAGGCAGCAGUAGGGAAUCUUCGGCAAUGGACGAAAGUCUGACCGAGCAACGCCGCGUGAGUGAAGAAGGUUUUCGGAUCGUAAAACUCUGUUGUUAGAGAAGCGGUAUCUAACCAGAAAGCAACGGCUAACUACGUGCCAGCAGCCGCGGUAAUAC
rnacentral:rRNA from 1 species